ACGUAGGGGGCAAGCGUUAUCCGGAUUUACUGGGUGUAAAGGGAGCGUAGACGGUUAUGUAAGUCUGAUGUGAAAACCCGGGGCUCAACCCCGGGACUGCAUUGGAAACUAUGUAACUAGAGUGUCGGAGAGGUAAGUGGAAUUCCUAGUGUAGCGGUGAAAUGCGUAGAUAUUAGGAGGAACACCAGUGGCGAAGGCGGCUUACUGGACGAUCACUGACGUUGAGGCUCGAAAGCGUGGGGAGCAAACAG
rnacentral:rRNA from 1 species